AGUGAACGCUGGCGGCGUGCUUAACACAUGCAAGUCGAACGAGAACGGGUUAUAGCUCGCCAUAAUUGUCAGCUAAGUGGCGCACGGGUGAGUAAUGUAUAGGUAAUAUGCCUCUUACUAAGGGAUAACAAAUGGAAACGUUUGCUAAUACCUUAUACUCCUUAUUAACAUAAGUUAAUAAGGGAAAGAUUUAUUGGUAAGAGAUUAGCCUGUAUUGUAUCAGUUAGUUGGUGGGGUAAUGGCUUACCAAGACUAUGACACAUAACUGGUUUGAGAGGAUGAUCAGUCACACUGGAACUGAGACACGGUCCAGACUCCUACGGGAGGCAGCAGUGGGGAAUAUUGCACAAUGGACGAAAGUCUGAUGCAGCAACGCCGCGUGGAGGAUGACACAUUUCGGUGCGUAAACUCCUUUUAUAUGAGAAGAUAAUGACGGUAUUAUAUGAAUAAGCACCGGCUAACUCCGUGCCAGCAGCCGCCGUAA
rnacentral:rRNA from 1 species